rnacentral:rRNA from 1 species
ACGAACGCUGGCGGCAGGCUUAACACAUGCAAGUCGAACGCCCCGCAAGGGGAGUGGCAGACGGGUGAGUAACGCGUGGGAAUCUACCGUACCCUACGGAAUAACGCAUGGAAACGUGUGCUAAUACCGUAUACGCCCUUUGGGGGAAAGAUUUAUCGGGGUAUGAUGAGCCCGCGUUGGAUUAGCUAGUUGGUGGGGUAAAGGCCUACCAAGGCGACGAUCCAUAGCUGGUCUGAGAGGAUGAUCAGCCACAUUGGGACUGAGACACGGCCCAAGCUCCUACGGGGGGCAGCAGUGGGGAAUAUUGGACAAUGGGCGCAAGCCUGAUCCAGCCAUGCCGGGUGAGUGAUGAAGGCCCUAGGGUUGUAAAGCUCUUUCACCGGUGAAGAUAAUGACGGUAACCGGAGAAGAAGCCCCGGCUAACUUCGU